rnacentral:tRNA from 1 species
UGCAAGGUGCCUGAAAAAGGAUAAUUUUGAUAGGAUUAAUCAUGUGUGACAUUUUCCCCCGCCGCACCCUUGCAA